GUCAGGUGUGGUGAUGCAUGCCUGUAAUCCCAGUUUCUCUGGAGACUGAGGCAGGAAGAUGGCAAGUUCAGGGAUAGCCUCAGCAACUUACAAGGCCCUAAGCAACUUAGUGAGAUCCUGUCUCAA
rnacentral:sRNA from 1 species